GCUGUUAAAUUUGUAUAGAUAUUAUAUCUAUACAAUUAUCGUUAGCAAAUUAAAAUUUGCAUAGAUGUUCAGCAGAAAUCUUCCCUACCACGGGUACGACCUUGUCGUGGUGGGAGGGCUUAGUACCCCGAGGGCUUGAAUGCCUAUGGGGGAAGCUAACUGUACCCAUUGCACCUGUUACGUCGUCGAUCGUAAAAUUGUGGUUCGUCGCGCCGCGUUAACGCGAUUCGGGAGUGCCGACCGAUUGAAUUGAAAACGAACCGUAGCCGGCUCGUCGUGUCGCGCGUUUGCUUCGGGAGUGCCGUUCAAGUAAAUGGACUAAAAGGAUUUUUCGCAUAACUCGCAUUAGAAUGAUUUCUUAGUUCGAGAGACCCGGGUGGCACUUUCGAAGUCUCGACAGUAUGGGAUGCUCAUCGAGGCGUUGCUUCUUGCGACGUUCUCGCGCCAAGUGCGCUUCGCGUACGAGGUGAAUUAAGCCGGAUCGACGCGCCUAAACGCUGGUAAAACCGCUUGACGCUGUCGGUUCCGAGCCAGUUGAGAUAUUACACGUUUCUAACAUCGGCAAACGAUUAACGGCACUAAAUAGUGAGAAUUCUUAAUUACGGUCUUAAUACGAUUGUAAUUUUGUAUUCUUCUGCGCGGUGCUUGACGUUUCGUGUUAGUUCCGUUGUGUUUUUCCGCACUCGUCGACUCAAGGUGCCAAUUCCACGGAGCAUUCUUCGAACUGGAAAUCAUAUCGUGGGAGUUAUAAACGUGGGGUGACGCGCGAAAGACUUUUUUACAAUUAAUUAGUCCUUGCGCGAUUAUAACUUCAAUAAUCGCGAGUGUUUUUCACGAGUGUCUCGUGACAAGGAAGGACAGCUUGUUCUGAGAGGAGGAGGAGGUCCAGGAAGGGCAUCGGGCCCCGCAGAGCAACCUUGGGAAUCAUCGUAGCGACGUUGCUGAAUAUCUCUGCCGCUGCGCAUCGGUCGGUGAGUGAUGAAUAAACUUUUAAAUUUGGGGUAAUAGAUCUGUGACAAAAUUUUACUUCAAAUAUAAUGUAGAAAUGUUUGCUAUAAUACAAUAAUAAAUAAUAUUUAAAUGUCAUACUUAUUUCAUGGAUCUAUUGCCUCAAAAUCAGCUGCCCUUAAAAAUAUAAGCAUCUGUAAGCAUUUGCUAGUCAUAUCGAAUUUCCAUAAAAAUACAACGAAUAAAUGCAUAAAGGCAAAUAGUAACCAUUUCUUUACGCAUGAUUUAUCGAAGUGUACCGGAUAUAAGAUAAGUUGCAUGCCAAUACGCGUUCCAUAAUACCGAUUUAUUCUGAGGAAUAAAGUGUCCGGAUGGUGCAUAGCAAGUGGCCAUAAAGUGGCAUACGAGAAAUCCGACCUAGAGGACAUCAGCUCUGAAGAGCCAACGCCGGCGUAAAAAGUUCUGAUUAAAAGGUAAAAAGAAUUGAUGGUAUUCCACGCGGUCGGGUUAAUGAAAAUCGCGUUCGCCGCCGUACAGCGGCGGCUAAUAGCGUCAAGGUUCAACGAUGCGAGACAAGUAUACAUAGGUCGGUGUAAGGCAGAAAGAAGGCCGGAACAUCUGCUCACCUACCGCCGCCGGUUAAACUCGUAGCUCUCGUUUUCCGCUGCGGUCGGCCGCAACAAUAAUUAUCGCUAAUAAUGCCGGGAUGCUUAAACAGAGUUAUAACGUAGCCUGAAAACGGCGCACUAUUUCAGCCGGGUACAUCCGCGAGAACUUACCGAAUGCUCGCACAAAUGCAUGUACGCAAUACUUUGUAGUUCAGUUGGAACUUUAUUGACAUUUCAUACAAAAUCUGCAAGCGAAUGUGCGAAUUUUUUAGCUGUAAAGUUGUGUUCCCUUGAAAUUAUGAGUUCUGCAGUUUAGAAAUUUAAUACAAGAAUUGCAUUAUAGUGAAUUCAUUUCAACACCAGUUGUCUGCAACUAUUAUUACACUGCAAUAAGAAUCUUGAAAUAAUAUCAAAAUGAUUUGAUUGGUAAUGCCGGCCAUUUUCCAGCAAAAACCGAAAAUAGCUGUAGCGCGGAAUUUAAUCACUGACCCCUGUUUAUUUUUUUUUAAUUACAACGCGUUAGGACCAGAAUUCUUGACUCUGACAGAAAAGAGAAUUUCCACAUAAUCUGUCAAUAUGUCAAUCUGUCUGAAAUUUGAAAUCAGCUGUAUUAUAUUAAUAUGAAAAAUGACGGCAUUAAUCAAAAUUAUGGACGCCACACACAUUUCGUGACUGUCAUUAGGGUCUCUAAUUAUUAUUAUUAUUAUCAUGCAAACUUUUUAAAAAUUAAUUGAAAAACUGGCGAAAUUCAUAACUGUUCGAGCCAUUCGAACAAACGAAUGAUAAAAUGUAAUUCCAUGUUAUAUACGCGUUUUUAAAUUCGUUCGCGAUUAAUGGUGAGAUAUACGUAGAGAAAAA
rnacentral:lncRNA from 1 species